CCUACGGGUGGCAGCAGUGAGGAAUAUUGGUCAAUGGACGAGAGUCUGAACCAGCCAAGUAGCGUGAAGGAUGACUGCCCUAUGGGUUGUAAACUUCUUUUAUAUGGGAAUAAAACGUUCCACGUGUGGGAUUUUGUAUGUACCAUAUGAAUAAGGAUCGGCUAUCUCCGUGCCAGCAGCCGCGGUAAUACGGAGGAUCCGAGCGUUAUCCGGAUUUAUUGGGUUUAAAGGGAGCGUAGGUGGAUUGUUAAGUCAGUUGUGAAAGUUUGCGGCUCAACCGUAAAAUUGCAGUUGAAACUGGCAGUCUUGAGUACAGUAGAGGUGGGCGGAAUUCGUGGUGUAGCGGUGAAAUGCUUAGAUAUCACGAAGAACUCCGAUUGCGAAGGCAGUUCACUGGACUGCAACUGACACUGAGGCUCGAAAGUGUGGGUAUCAAACAGGAUUAGAUACCCCUGUAGUC
rnacentral:rRNA from 1 species